UUCCUCCUCCCCCCUCCCUCUCCGGUACUACCGCUGUUGCCACUACCGGCACCUUCUUGACUACCCCUUUAAGAGCAACAAAUUCUUUUUCGCAAACCCGUGGGAUCCGGACUAGCAAUGGACAUAGCAUGAUAGCCUAUGUGAUGGGGUCAAGGUCGCAUCCCUAAACUUUUAACAAAUAUCACUACUGAUCAUUCAAAAUGAUCACAUCACAAAUCUCAUUUAAGGACUCCAGGUAAACCCAGCGAGGAGGAAUAGGUUGUGAAUUUCAACUAGAAUACUUCAAAAUGAGAAGAUCCUGCCAUGGAAAAGACGACUGCGUGGACAUAAAGUGGAAAGGAGGGGAAAUAACUCACACCAUGCAGCAGGACACCUUCAGCUGUGGGGUCUUUGUAAUGCAGAUGGCCAAGGAAGUUGCACAGAACUUCCCCAACAUCCCAAACUGAUAUAGAACCUUCAAAAACACAUGGAGCAACUGCAAAAAGAAAUGGCUGAGGAUAUACUAAAAAUGUCUGAGUUCAACAAAGCCAACAACUUCUUAAUGUGUACCACUGAUAAAGAACCUGGAUGCGGCCCAAAGACUGACUGGAUUGAAUGUUUUGCAUGCCAACGGGGGUUCCAUGUGCUGUGCCUAGGAAUGAAGACAAAAGAGUUCAACAGAGUGAAGAACACAAACUGGAAGUGCAGUCUUUAUUGUUGAAAAUGUAUGCUAUACCUCAUCCACACUGAAGAGGCUCUGAAAUGUACAACAACCAGCGAUAAAGAGAAAGUUAACACUGUGAAAUGUUUCAUACUUAUUUGAAGUAAAGUGUCUGACAUGUUGGAAAAGAUUAAAGGUCUACAAUUUCUGUUUAA